AGACCCGAAACCCGGUGAUCUAGCCAUGGGCAGGUUGAAGGUUGGGUAACACUAACUGGAGGACCGAACCGACUAAUGUUGAAAAAUUAGCGGAUGACCUGUGGCUGGGGGUGAAAGGCCAAUCAAACCGGGAGAUAGCUGGUUCUCCCCGAAAGCUAUUUAGGUAGCGCCUCGUGAAUUCAUCUCCGGGGGUAGAGCACUGUUUCGGCUAGGGGGCCAUCCCGGCUUACCAACCCGAUGCAAACUGCGAAUACCGGAGAAUGUUAUCACGGGAGACACACGGCGGGUGCUAACGUCCGUCGUGAAGAGGGAAACAACCCAGACCGCCAGCUAAGGUCCCAAAGUCAUGGUUAAGUGGGAAACGAUGUGGGAAGGCCCAGACAGCCAGGAUGUUGGCUUAGAAGCAGCCAUCAUUUAAAGAAAGCGUAAUAGCUCACUGGUCGAGUCGGCCUGCGCGGAAGAUGUAACGGGGCUAAACCAUGCACCGAAGCUGCGGCAGCGACGCUUAUGCGUUGUUGGGUAGGGGAGCGUUCUGUAAGCCUGCGAAGGUGGCCUGUGA
rnacentral:rRNA from 1 species